rnacentral:rRNA from 1 species
UACGUAGGGGGCAAGCGUUGUCCGGAUUUAUUGGGCGUAAAGAGCGUGUAGGCGGUUCGGUAGGUCCGUUGUGAAAACUCGAGGCUCAACCUCGAGACGCCGAUGGAAACCCUCGAACUAGAGUCCGGAAGAGGAGAAUGGAAUUCCUGGUGUAGCGGUGAAAUGCGCAGAUAUCAGGAAGAACACCAGUGGCGAAGGCGGCUCACUGGACCGGUACUGACGCUGAUGCGCGAAAGCGUGGGGAGCAAACGGG